rnacentral:rRNA from 1 species
UACGUAUGGUGCAAGCGUUAUCCGGAUUUACUGGGUGUAAAGGGAGCGCAGGCGGCACGGCAAGCCUGAUGUGAGAGCCCGCGGCCCAACCGCGGGACUGCAUUGGGAACUACCGGGCUGGAGUGCCGGAGAGGUAGGCGGAAUUCCUAGUGUAGCGGUGAAAUGCGUAGAUAUUAGGAGGAACACCAGUGGCGAAGGCGGCCUACUGGACGGUGACUGACGCUGAGGCUCGAAAGCGUGGGGAGCAAACAGG